CUGGAGGCAGAAAAUGUCGGCGCUGCUGGAGAGCCCCCGCACUUAUGCCGAGGGCAUGUGCCUCCUGACGAGUGUCCUGCUCCGUGCCCAGCUCAUCUCCCGGGAGCUGAUUGAGAUCUUCUCCCAGUGGCUGCGCUACCCAUCAGCAAACCUGCAGCUGACAGCCAUGGCUUUCUUUGCUGAGCUGAUGAAGGAGCCGCCUCUUGAGAAGAGGAACGUCCUGAAGACUCUGCGUGUCUUGGCUGAGAAAGCACACCACCGA
rnacentral:lncRNA from 1 species